rnacentral:tRNA from 1 species
GAGGGUAUAGCUCAGUGGUAGAACACUAGCAUGCAUGAGGUCCUGGGUUCAAUCCCCUGUACCUUCA